CUGCUAUAGGGCCCUAAUAUACCACUCCAUUACCUCAGCGCCCACAUAUUCCACAGAGCUGUACAAAACUUGACAUCACUCAGAGUGGUCCUUGUCCACAUUGGGGAUCACAAUGCUACUGAAGACGGCAUCCUACAAGUCGGAGGCUGAGGUGUUCCGGAAUUUUCCUGUUCGUUAUGGUGUCCCCGUUGGGACAUGGGUUCGGUCCGGUGAUUCGAGGUUCUAUGGAGUCGGUUUGGGUUCUAUCGUGAUUCCAGGUUCCAGUUGCGGCUGCAGAUUCGCAUCAAGAAAGAGGAGGAGAUAAUGGAAGCAGUCCCUUAUAUACCAAGCAUCCCGGUCAGGGAUUGGCCGAUACAUCCUAUGGACUGCUGGGAGUUGUAGUUUUAAGUGGUUAAAAGUUUUUUAGUAAAAAAUUAAUUAAAAGAGUUUUG